CUUGAUUGGGAUUUGCCCCUUUUAAAAUGCAGAUUUACCCCUUCUUCCUCAUAGAAUUCGUCCGCCAUAAUCGAGGAAUAAGAAGUUUUUCCAAGAUCCAACAUCCGGCGACUCAUCCUUAGAACGCCGCUGUUCAUCGACGCGGAGGUCAAAGGUUGGUUGAUCCAACAUCCGGCGACUCAUCUUCUAUGGAUAUGCAGACAAUGUCGGGUUUCACUGGGAAAAAUGCUUAUUCGGGUCAUUGUCGGUUAUACCUCAUGCGCCAUUUGGAGACUUUUAUGGGAGAUGGUUCAACAAGUUAGAAGUGUGGAAUGUCGUCAUCGUCUCCAUGUCAUAUGAGCCGUAUGCGAGUUAGAUAUUGUGGCACAAUUUUGAGUUGCGAGUUCAAUGAUGUGAGGGGGAAGCUGUUGAAAUAUGCGGCUGCACAUUAUCUGGAGUUGUGCAAGAAUAGCAACUUCAAUGCUAACUACAUCUUGCUUGGAUGAUACAACUCAAUUUUCAUGAAUAAGUGUUAGACAUUAAACAAUUUUUAUGUUUUAGGCCAUUUUUCUAUAGGUCAAAGACCCGUUAUUACAUUUGACAAUUGGAAUCUAAUUUAUGCAUAUUGGUUGUUCUAAUUUGCUCGCAUGUGGUU